rnacentral:rRNA from 1 species
GAUAAGUGCUGAAAGCAUCUAAGCACGAAACUUGCCCCGAGAUGAGUUCUCCCUGACUCCUUGAGAGUCCUGAAGGAACGUUGAAGACGACGACGUUGAUAGGCCGGAUGUGUAAGCGCAGCGAUGCGUUGAGCUAACCGGUACUAAUGAACCGUGAGGCUUAACCUUACAACGCCGAAGGUGUUU